rnacentral:rRNA from 1 species
CCUACGAGCGGCAGCAGUGGGGAAUAUUGGACAAUGGGGGAAACCCUGAUCCAGCGACGCCGCGUGAGUGAAGAAGUAUUUCGGUACGUAAAGCUCUAUCAGCAGGAAAGAAAAUGACGGUACCUGACUCAGAAGCCCCGGCUAACUACGUGCCAGCAGCCGCGGUAAUACGUAGGGGGCAAGCGUUAUCCGGAUUUACUGGGUGUAAAGGGAGCGUAGACGGCAGCGCAAGUCUGGAGUGAAAUGCCGGGGCCCAACCCCGGAACUGCACUGGAAACUGUGAAGCUGGAGGGCAGGAGAGGUAAGCAGAAUUCGUGGUGGAGCGGUGAAAUGCGUAGAUAUCAGGAGGAACACCGGCGGCGAAGGCGGCUUACUGGACUGUAACUGACGUUGAGGCUCGAAGGCGUGGGGAGCAAACAGGAUUAGAUACCCCAGUAGUC